AGACAAAUAACUAAAUAAAAGUGUGUCAAUUACACUGAUAAAAUGAUUAAUUAAUAUCUUUGUCUU
rnacentral:tRNA from 1 species